AGAGUUUGAUCCUGGCUCAGAACGAACGCUGGCGGCGUGGAUAAGACAUGCAAGUCGAGCGCUAAUUACAGGGUAGCAAUAUUCUGUAGUUGGAGCGGCGCAAGGGUGCGUAACACGUGGGUAAUCUGCCAUGAAGUUUGGGAUAACUCGCUGAAAGGCGAGCUAAUACCGGAUGUGACGAUUGGAAGGCAUCUUCUGAUCUUUAAAGUUGGGGAUCGUAAGACCUGACGCUUCAUGAUGAGCCCGCGGCCUAUCAGCUAGUUGGUGAGGUAACGGCUCACCAAGGCUAAGACGGGUAGCUGGUCUGAGAGGACGACCAGCCACACUGGAACUGAGACACGGUCCAGACACCUACGGGUGGCAGCAGUCGAGAAUUUUUCACAAUGGGGGAAACCCUGAUGGAGCGACGCCGCGUGGGGGAUGAAUGGCUUCGGCCCGUAAACCCCUGUCAUUCGCGAACAAAUUGGUUCAAUUAACACCUGAACCAUUGAUUGUAGCGAAAGAGGAAGGGACGGCUAACUCUGUGCCAGCAGCCGCGGUAAUACAGAGGUCCCAAGCGUUGUUCGGAUUCACUGGGCGUAAAGGGUGCGUAGGUGGUGGGGUAAGUCUGAUGUGAAAUCUUCGAGCUUAACUCGGAAAUGGCAUUGGAAACUACUCUGCUGGAGGGUUGGAGGGGGGACUGGAAUUCUCGGUGUAGCAGUGAAAUGCGUAGAUAUCGAGAGGAACACCAGUGGCGAAGGCGAGUCCCUGGACAACUCCUGACGCUGAGGCACGAAAGCUAGGGGAGCAAACAGGAUUAGAUACCCUAGUAGUCC
rnacentral:rRNA from 1 species